rnacentral:rRNA from 1 species
UACGGAGGGUGCGAGCGUUGUCCGGAAUCACUGGGCGUAAAGGGCGCGUAGGCGGCCUGGCAAGUCGAUGGUGAAAGCCCGAGGCUCAACUUCGGGUCGGCCACUGAUACUGCUGGGCUUGAGUCGACUAGAGGCAGAUGGAAUUCCGGGUGUAGCGGUGGAAUGCGUAGAUAUCAGGAGGAACACCGGUGGCGAAGGCGGCUUUCUGGACAGUAACUGACGCUGAGGCGCGAAAGCCGGGGGAGCAAACAGG